rnacentral:rRNA from 1 species
CCUACGGGAGGCAGCAGUGAGGAAUAUUGGUCAAUGGACGAGAGUCUGAACCAGCCAAGUAGCGUGAAGGAUGACUGCCCUAUGGGUUGUAAACUUCUUUUAUAUGGGAAUAAAACGUUCCACGUGUGGGAUUUUGUAUGUACCAUAUGAAUAAGGAUCGGCUAACGCCGUGCCAGCAGCCGCGGUAAUAAGGAGGAUCCGAGCGUUAUCCGGAUUUAUUGGGUUUAAAGGGAGCGUAGGUGGAUUGUUAAGUCAGUUGUGAAAGUUUGCGGCUCAACCGUAAAAUUGCAGUUGAAACUGGCAGUCUUGAGUACAGUAGAGGUGGGCGGAAUUCGUGGUGUAGCGGUGAAAUGCUUAGAUAUCACGAAGAACUCCGAUUGCGAAGGCAGUUCACUGGACUGCAACUGACACUGAGGCUCGAAAGUGUGGGUAUCAAACAGGAUUAGAUACCCCAGUAGUC